AUGUGCUUCUGUCUAACCAUGUU
rnacentral:miRNA from 1 species